ensembl:lncRNA
AUGAAACAGAUUCCCUCAAUGUUCUUCCAGAAGGUUCAACUUGCAAUGUCCAGAGGAAAAUGUGGAGGAACAUGGUUGUCCAGAAGGGAGGAAAAUAGGCCGAUAUUCCUAUUGCAGGACCGUUUGAAGACUGAGUUUCUAGGUGAGAGGAAACAAACCUGGUUACUUGAUUUAGUGAGCAAGGCCCACAAAGAAAAAAGACAAAGACUAGGGAUCCCCCAAAAAUGAGAUGUCAUGAGAAUUGGGACCAGGUGGCACCCAGAAGAACUAGCUCUAAGUGUCAUGUUUCUGAUGGUGACAGGCCUGGUUUAUAAAAUCUCUAACAUGGUCCUGGACUUUCCCUACUUUGUUAACCUAGAGCAUUUUUCUCCUUGCAUAAGGCAAAUUCUUUCAUGAGCUGCAGCCGGUGUGGCAAGACGUCUACAGUUUGGAACUACAGCCAUAAGAAAAUCAACUUGUUGCUGUCACUCUGAGCAGUGAUUUCUGUUUUGUGAGUCAGUACCAGAGACAGGUUGUGGUAAGUUGAGUAGGCAGUAAUUAUGCCAGCUAUUCCUGUAGUGGCACUUGAGAUGCCAAGAAAAAAAGAUAACCUGCUCAGUUGAUCUGAUGUUGUUGUGCCCAAGCGAGUCAAGGAAUGCACCACAUUCUGAUUGAUUUAUGAGUCCUUUAUUGAGCUGGCAACUAGGAGUGCCUAACACCCAAAAUUCUCUCAGCCCCAAAGAAAAAGUUAGGUGAUCUUUUAUACAUUAGUUUUAAUGAAAAGCCCUAGAGUACAUCAUCUUGUCUUAUAUACUACCUACUGACUGACUAAUCAGCGUGGCAUGAGGCCUACAUCACUCAAACCUUUCACUUUUCAAGAAUUAGCCGUUCUCCACCCAGUACCAUGGUGUCCUAGCCCAUCUGCAUUUGUUAGUGGUAAUAUUCUUUGUAUAUAAAGAAUUUUGUUAGUGGUAAUAUUCUUAUGUAUAAUAAAUAUACUUUUUUUUUUUUUUUUUUUUUUUUUGCGGAGAAGUGAUUUACUGAGAGAAAGAAAAAGGAGAUGCAAUAGCUUCCAUGAAGAGUAUGGAAGGGGACCCCAGAGGGGAAAUCCCAGAGAGGAAAGACAGCUUCCACAACAGGAGUGUGGAAUGGGACCCAAGUAUGGAAUCCAGCAGAGGAACAGCAGCUACCACAAUUGUUGUGUAAGGGGACCCUAGAGAGGUAAGUCAACCUGGAUGAGGGAGACAGACAGGUUGAAUGAAAUAGUCUUUACAUUACCCCUGGCCAAGAAAAAGAGUUCCCUUAAACUUCUGCUAGAGUGAUUGACUUUUGACCUUUUCCCCUGCCUGCCAAAAUUAAAACAGAAACUGUUAAAACUCCUGGAAGGAGAGGCACGGGAGAGGGGUAUGGCUCUGGGAAGUUUUUGCCCUUAAAACGACACCCCCUUGUGGACCCGGAAAGAGAACACUUUCCCUCAUUUCCCCCUCUGAACAGCAAAGUUCAACUUCUGUUGGAACAUGGGCAAUUAUUGCUCUUUACUUCCUGCUGAAAUUGGGCAUUGAAGGGGCCCUGUAGUUGAGGUUUUCUCCACAGGGGAUCCUUUCAGGGGUGCAGGUUGAUCCUCAGGUCCACGAUAGAGCUCAUGAGCCAAGGACAUUUGGGGUUCCAGCAGCAGGAUUAUUUGUAAGCUUUUGGUCACAGGCAUGGGCCACCAUGCUUGGCUAAUUUUGUAUUUUUAGUAGAGAUGGCAUUUCUCCAUGUUGGUCAGGCUGUUCUUCCUAACUCCUGACCUUGGGUGAUCCUCCUGCCUCGGCUUCCAAAAGUGUUGGGAUUACAGGUAUGAGCCACCAUGCUCUGCCAGAAAAGGACUGUUGACAGCAAAGGUACCCCUAUUACAUAUGGGUCACAGAGUUUUAACCUACUCCAGGCUAUCCACCUACCACAGAAAUCUGUAGUUCAUUGCUGGGGUUACCAGAAGUGCCAAUAUGAAGUUACCUAGAGAAACAGCAUUGGCCAAGCAGCUAGGGCCACCACCCUUUCUGGGGAACUCCUUAUGGCCCUUGUUCCCAAUUUUGCCUAACAACUUGCCCACCUGCAAUAUGCUCAAGAGAAAAAUAAAUGUGUUAUCAAACCUGAAUAUACCCUAGGACCUGAAAGACUGUAUAAACUGGAAGAGGUUCUUUAUUUUCCUGAGGUCCUUCAGCAGAAAUAAGGGCACUCCAUAAUUCUUGUCUCUUUGGGAGAGACCAUCUCCAUCAGCUGUAAACAAAAAAACCCUCUUUUGUUGACAAGUUUGUAAAGGCAGUCCAUCUGUCUGUAAUAAUUAAGCCACUCUCCUUAAUUCAGCCAGUUCAGCAAGAAGAAACCCACCCAGCUGCUUGGGAGGCUGGGGCAGAAUUGCUUGAACCUGGGAGGGAGGUUGCCGUGAGCAAAGAUCAUGCCAUUGCACUCCAGCUUGGGCAACAAAAGUGAAACUCCAUCUCAAAAAAAGAAAAAAAAAAAAGAAUUUUCUUUCCAAAUGAUGGCAUAAUUGUGAAAUACUAAAAAGGUAUAUUUUGUAUCUGUAUAAAUAGUAACUAACUCCCUGGUUCUUGUUCUAGGGCUCUGGUCAGGGCUAUGUGCUCUAGACUGCUGAGCUGAAGUUCGCAGAGAUAGUUUUAUAAACAAACUGUUUGGAAGGCAACUGUAAGGUAAUUGGUAGUACUAGGCAAAACGUAGAUGGAAAGAAAACUAAUAUAGAGUGAAAUAAUUAAGAAAUUUGUAUUAGUUGACGGAUACAAGAUGGCUCAUCGCUAACAUCUCGGGAUUGCAGCUCUCAGUGAAAGCUCAGAGAACGAAAGGGCACCACACUUUCAGACAAAUUUUGGUCGCUAACGGAGCAGAAUAUUCCCAGUGGAGGAGCACAUAGGUUGCCAGUGUGACUCUUGGCCGGCGCAGCGGUUUUGCCAGCACCUUGGUGCGGCAGCUCUUGGUGCAGAGUAAACGGGACUGGUUCCCCUUCUGAAUGAGGUUUGGAGGAGCAGCACAGGUUGCCAGCGCGACUCCUAUGGCUGGCACAGCGGUUUUGCCGGCACCUCAGUGUGGCAGCUCUUGGUGCAGAGUAAAUGGGACUGGUUCCCCUUCUGACUGAGAUUUGGAGCUCCAGGAAGGCAGAGUAGCCUAUUAUGGACUCAAAAAGGAAGCCAGACUGGAGAUUCCCAGGCAGAAAAGCACCAUCAGUCUUAACACCGCUAUUUUGGCCGGCGCAGUGGGUUGCUCAUAUUUUGGCCCUGGGAAUUAACAACUUGGACGUCCACUCAGAAACCUAAUUUCCAAAUUGAUAAUUACAAAGAUGACAGGUGGAUAGAUUUACAAUGAUGGGAAGA